rnacentral:rRNA from 1 species
UACAGAGGGCUCAAGCGUUGUUCGGAUUCAUUGGGCGUAAAGGGUGCGUAGGCGGCGUGGUAAGUCGGGUGUGAAAUCUCGGAGCUUAACUCCGAAACUGCAUUCGAUACUGCCGUGCUUGAGGACUGGAGAGGAGAGUGGAAUUUACGGUGUAGCAGUGAAAUGCGUAGAGAUCGUAAGGAAGACCAGUGGCGAAGGCGGGUCUCUGGACAGUACCUGACGCUGAGGCACGAAGGCCAGGGGAGCAAACGGG